CGGCAAAAUUAAUGCUAGCAUCUGCCCUAUGUCUCAUCCAAUCUUCGUAUCCUUGUUUCUGAAAUUAAAGACUGUAAUUUAGAUACUUACGUGAAAGUUCCUUAUUUGUUCCUUUUACUCUCUACCAAUUUACGCACUCGAGAGGGGUCUCACAGCAAUCCAUCGACUAACUAAGAGUCAUACAUAUUUAUUGGUCAAGUCUCAUUGAGACUUGAGAAAAAGGCGUUACAUGAGAAGAUCACGAUACUACAUAUUCAACAUUUAUGAAGUAUCACCUAUUGAAACGUCUUGAACAAUUUUGUCAAAAUGAUUCCAAUCACGAACACAAAGGCUGCAAUGUAUGGAAUAGGUUCCACGGGAAUAUCUAUCGAGACCUUCCGGGCAAUUCAGAA